UACGAAGGGGGCUAGCGUUGUUCGGAUUUACUGGGCGUAAAGCGCACGUAGGCGGAUUGUUAAGUCAGGGGUGAAAUCCUGGAGCUCAACUCCAGAACUGCCUUUGAUACUGGCAAUCUAGAGUCCGGAAGAGGUGAGUGGAACUCCUAGUGUAGAGGUGGAAUUCGUAGAUAUUAGCUAGAACACCAGUGGCGAAGGCGGCCAACUGGUCCGGUACUGACGCUGAGGUGCGAAAGCGUGGGGAGCAAACAGGG
rnacentral:rRNA from 1 species